rnacentral:rRNA from 1 species
GGUUAAGCGACUAAGCGUACACGGUGGAUGCCCUGGCAGUCAGAGGCGAUGAAGGACGUGCUAAUCUGCGAAAAGCGCCGGCGAGGUGAUAUGAACCCUUGACCCGGCGAUGUCCGAAUGGGGAAACCCAGUGCAAUCCGUUGCACUAUCGUUAACUGAAUACAUAGGUUAACGAGGCGAACCGGGGGAACUGAAACAUCUAAGUACCCCGAGGAAAAGAAAUCAACCGAGAUUCCCCCAGUAGCGGCGAGCGAACGGGGAGCAGCCCGGAGUCUGAAUCAGCUUGUGUGUUAGUGGAACGGUCUGGAAAGUCCGACGGUACAGGGUGAUAGUCCCGUACACGAAAGCACACUUGCUGUGAACUCGAAGAGUAGGGCGGGACACGUGGUAUCCUGUCUGAAUAUGGGGGGACCAUCCUCCAAGGCUAAAUACUCCUGACUGACCGAUAGUGAACCAGUACCGUGAGGGAAAGGCGAAAAGAACCCCGGCGAGGGGAGUGAAAAAGAACCUGAAACCGUGUACGUACAAGCAGUGGGAGCCUACUUGUUAGGUGACUGCGUACCUUUUGUAUAAUGGGUCAGCGACUUAUAUUCUGUAGCAAGGUUAACCGUAUAGGGGAGCCGAAGGGAAACCGAGUCUUAACUGGGCGUUAAGUUGCAGGGUAUAGACCCGAAACCCGGUGAUCUAGCCAUGGGCAGGUUGAAGGUUGGGUAACACUAACUGGAGGACCGAACCGACUAAUGUUGAAAAAUUAGCGGAUGACCUGUGGCUGGGGGUGAAAGGCCAAUCAAACCGGGAGAUAGCUGGUUCUCCCCGAAAGCUAUUUAGGUAGCGCCUCGUGAACUCAUCUUCGGGGGUAGAGCACUGUUUCGGCUAGGGGGCCAUCCCGGCUUACCAACCCGAUGCAAACUACGAAUACCGAAGAAUGUUAUCACGGGAGACACACGGCGGGUGCUAACGUCCGUCGUGAAGAGGGAAACAACCCAGACCGCCAGCUAAGGUCCCAAAGUCAUGGUUAAGUGGGAAACGAUGUGGGAAGGCACAGACAGCCAGGAUGUUGGCUUAGAAGCAGCCAUCAUUUAAAGAAAGCGUAAUAGCUCACUGGUCGAGUCGGCCUGCGCGGAAGAUGUAACGGGGCUAAACCAUGCACCGAAGCUGCGGCAGCGACACUAUGUGUUGUUGGGUAGGGGAGCGUUCUGUAAGCCGUUGAAGGUGUGCUGUGAGGCAUGCUGGAGGUAUCAGAAGUGCGAAUGCUGACAUAAGUAACGAUAAAGCGGGUGAAAAGCCCGCUCGCCGGAAGACCAAGGGUUCCUGUCCAACGUUAAUCGGGGCAGGGUGAGUCGACCCCUAAGGCGAGGCCGAAAGGCGUAGUCGAUGGGAAACAGGUUAAUAUUCCUGUACUUGGUGUUACUGCGAAGGGGGGACGGAGAAGGCUAUGUCAGCCGGGCGACGGUUGUCCCGGUUUAAGCAUGUAGGCGGAGGUUCCAGGUAAAUCCGGUACCUUUUAACGCUGAGGUGUGAUGACGAGGCACUACGGUGCUGAAGUGAUAAAUGCCCUGCUUCCAGGAAAAGCCUCUAAGCAUCAGGUAACACGAAAUCGUACCCCAAACCGACACAGGUGGUCAGGUAGAGAAUACCAAGGCGCUUGAGAGAACUCGGGUGAAGGAACUAGGCAAAAUGGUGCCGUAACUUCGGGAGAAGGCACGCUGAUGUGUAGGUGAAGCCCCUGCGGGCGGAGCUGAAAUCAGUCGAAGAUACCAGCUGGCUGCAACUGUUUAUUAAAAACACAGCACUGUGCAAACACGAAAGUGGACGUAUACGGUGUGACGCCUGCCCGGUGCCGGAAGGUUAAUUGAUGGGGUUAGCUGUAAGGCGAAGCUCUUGAUCGAAGCCCCGGUAAACGGCGGCCGUAACUAUAACGGUCCUAAGGUAGCGAAAUUCCUUGUCGGGUAAGUUCCGACCUGCACGAAUGGCGUAAUGAUGGCCAGGCUGUCUCCACCCGAGACUCAGUGAAAUUGAACUCGCUGUGAAGAUGCAGUGUACCCGCGGCAAGACGGAAAGACCCCGUGAACCUUUACUAUAGCUUGACACUGAACACUGGUCCUUGAUGUGUAGGAUAGGUGGGAGGCUUUGAAGCGUGGACGCCAGUCUGCGUGGAGCCAACCUUGAAAUACCACCCUUUAAUGGCUGGUGUUCUAACGUAGACCCGUAAUCCGGGUUGCGGACAGUGUCUGGUGGGUAGUUUGACUGGGGCGGUCUCCUCCCAAAGAGUAACGGAGGAGCACGAAGGUUGGCUAAUCCUGGUCGGACAUCAGGAGGUUAGUGCAAUGGCAUAAGCCAGCUUGACUGCGAGCGUGACGGCGCGAGCAGGUGCGAAAGCAGGUCAUAGUGAUCCGGUGGUUCUGAAUGGAAGGGCCAUCGCUCAACGGAUAAAAGGUACUCCGGGGAUAACAGGCUGAUACCGCCCAAGAGUUCAUAUCGACGGCGGUGUUUGGCACCUCGAUGUCGGCUCAUCACAUCCUGGGGCUGAAGUAGGUCCCAAGGGUAUGGCUGUUCGCCAUUUAAAGUGGUACGCGAGCUGGGUUUAGAACGUCGUGAGACAGUUCGGUCCCUAUCUGCCGUGGGCGCUGGAGAAUUGAGGGGGGCUGCUCCUAGUACGAGAGGACCGGAGUGGACGCAUCACUGGUGUUCGGGUUGUCAUGCCAAUGGCACUGCCCGGUAGCUAAAUGCGGAAGAGAUAAGUGCUGAAAGCAUCUAAGCACGAAACUUGCCCCGAGAUGAGUUCUCCCUGAGACUUUAAGUCUCCUGAAGGAACGUUGAAGACGACGACGUUGAUAGGUCGGGUGUGUAAGCGCAGCGAUGCGUUGAGCUAACCGAUACUAAUGAACCGUGAGGCUUAACCUU